rnacentral:rRNA from 1 species
AUGGAUGGGCAGUCAGGGAAAACCAUGCAGAGUCUACCGGAUACAUUGUCAUCCCUCAAGGGGUUCAACAAGUACCUCACACCCGGUUGGAUUGAAUCAGUGUCCCACAUCCUCAAGGAGUUGACACCAACCAAACCACAGAAAGUAAUGGAAGAGGAUGCUCAAAAUGUAUUUGAGUGUCAUGACACAGAAUUAGACAUUAAAGUUGCGAAGAUUCAAGAUGAAAUGGUUUCACUGGGUGCCCAACUAAAGCAGAAAACACUGCAGAAGAGAGAGUCACUAAAUAACUAUUUGGACUUGAAAGGAAGUAUAAGGGUGUUCUGUCGUAUGAGGCCUUUCAACCAUGAAGAAAGUUACAGCUCCAGAACCAUGUUCACCCUUGAUGAGAGUAAUGUUUUCUUAAAAGUUGCUGAAACCAAGACAAAGCAAUACAAGUUCGAUAAGGUUUUCGACCCAUGCUCAACACAAGGUGAUGUAUUUUCUGAAGUCGAACCAGUGAUAAAAUCAGCUAUAGAUGGCUACAACGUUUGCAUAUUUGCCUAUGGUCAGACAGGUAGUGGAAAAACUUAUACAAUGGAAGGCAAGCCUAAAGAUUUGGGUGUCAUACCACGCGGGAUUCAAGUACUGUUUGAUCGAGCUUCAGAGAGCAACAGCAGAUUUCAGUUCACUUUCAGCAUGCUCGAGAUAUAUAUGGGAAACCUACGAGAUCUACUAGUUCCAGGAAGCAAGACCAAUGGGUUAAAGAAUGUUCCGAGCCUCUCUAUUAAAACGGAUCCUGAUGGUGGCAUUGAGAUUGAAAAUCUAGUGGCAGUUACCGUGAAUAAUUUUCAAGAAGUGAAAAGAUUAUAUGGUGUGGGGACCCGUCUUAGAUCAACAGCUUCCACUAUGGCUAAUUCUACAUCAAGUAGAUCUCACUGUUUGAUUCGCAUUUCAUUGACCUCCUUUGAUGCACCUGAGAGAAAAAAAGCAAGAAACAAAAUAUGGAUGAUUGAUCUAGGUGGAAGUGAGAGACUUGUAAAGACCAAAGCAACUGGUAAAAGGCUGAAGGAAGGCAAAGCCAUAAAUUUGUCAUUGUCAGCCCUAGGGGAUGUGAUUGAUGCACUACAGACUAAAAAACCUCAUGUACCUUACAGGAAUAGUAAGCUUACACAAGUUCUGAGAGAUUCUCUAGGAUGCGAGUCCAAAACAUUGAUGCUUGUCCAUAUUAGACCAAAUGAGAAUGAUUUGUGCGAGACCGUUUGUACCUUGGGUUUUGCAACAAGAGUGAGAAGUAUCCGUCUAGAAAGUGAAGAAUCGCCAGAGGUAAAAACAAGGAAGGAAGAUUUCUUAAAGGAGUUAGAACAGACGGUCAGUAAUUUGGAACAAGAAUGUGACAAUAUUAGAAGAGAAAUUAAGAAGCUCAAGGAUACAGUGGAACAUUUGAGAGGGCCUCAAACAUCUGCUAGCACAAAUUUUGCAACUUCACAUCCGUCCACUCAGGAACUGAAGAUUGACAUGUCAAAGAAUGUAAGAAGUCUGAAGAAUCAUAGAGAAGUUCCGUGUGGGUUACCAAGGUUCAUGAAGCCAACUGCUGCUAGCCAGCACAGGAUAGGUUUAAACAACAAUGUUCCCAGUAUUAACAGGAUGAAACCACCAAUGCCACCAAAGAGAAGGCCUUCUUCUGUCUAUGCAGAAUCUGUAAGAUUUCCAGUAAAUGCCGAUACUUGGCAGUCAGAAUGCAGUUCUGAGUGCAGUAUCUCCAUGACAAGUGACAUGAAUUGGACACCGAGCAUACUAGAUGGGACUCAAUGUAGCCAAGAUGCAUCAGAGUACGAGAUCAAACAGGUGAUUUUCUCAGAACAUGAGAAACCAUCACAGGGUCAAGUCAUUUCCUUCAAAGAAUGGCAACUUACAGAAUCAGAGAAUAUGCAGAACAAAACUGAAGAAAGGAGUAUUAUAGACAUUGAUAAUUGGAUCCACCAACAAAUACUUCAAAGUGCUGACACAUGCCAAAGCAAAAGGGUUGUAACUGUUCCCAAUGUAACUGAAGAAGAAACUUUCAAUAUUCCUUCACCAAUUAAGAUUGAAGGGACUAAAAGUUGUAAGCAAGCACAGGACGAAAAAAGUGAACUAACCCUACAACCCCCACCACUCGAUGCAAAGGAUAUAAAGCGACCCAAGGCAGUUAAUCAUUUCGCCACAGCAGAAUUAUACAGUCCUCCAUCAAGAGAACAUUGCAGAACCAACGAGACAAAGAAACAUAUGAAUGAAAAUCUUGCAUAUCAGGGGAGAUCCAGAAGAUCUCUUCAAGAAAAGCUGGAUGGUUGCAUGCUAAAGCUGCCAGAAUCUGAUCUCAAUACAAGUCCUGAAAUCAGGCCCCAGGAAGAGGAACACAGCAUAGGAAAACUGAAAAAGUUCUUUCAAGCUCUCCAAACAGCAUGGGGCUGUGUUCGUCUAGGAUUAGGCAUUGUCAACCUUGGAUUAGAGCACGAGUUCUUUCAAAGCUUGAUACUUUGA